AUGAACGCUGGCGGCGUGCCUAAUACAUGCCGGUCGAGCGAACAGACGAGGAGCUUGCUCCUCUGACGUUAGCGGCGGACGGGUGAGUAACACGUGGAUAACCUACCUAUAAGACUGGGAUAACUUCGGGAAACCGGAGCUAAUACCGGAUAAUAUAUUGAACCGCAUGGUUCAAUAGUGAAAGACGGUUUUGCUGUCACUUAUAGAUGGAUCCGCGCCGCAUUAGCUAGUUGGUAAGGUAACGGCUUACCAAGGCAACGAUGCGUAGCCGACCUGAGAGGGUGAUCCGCCCCACUGGAACUGAGACCCCGGCCAGGCUCCUACGGGAAGGCACAGUAGGGAAUCUUCCGCCAUUGGCGGAAGCCUGACCGAGCCACCGCGCCGGGAUGGAUGAGGUUCUCCGAUCCUUAAACUCUUUUUUUAGGGAAGAACAAAUGUGUAAGUAACUAUGCACGUCUUGACGGUACCUAAUCAGAAAGCCACGGCUAACUACGUG
rnacentral:rRNA from 1 species